GCCCGGGUGGCUCAGUUGGUUGAGCGUCUGACUUUGGCUCAGGUCAUGAUCUCAUAGUUCAUGAGUUCGAGCCCCACAUCGGGCU
rfam:Felis catus isolate Cinnamon breed Abyssinian chromosome A2, whole genome shotgun sequence.